GGCCGCGGGAAUUCGAUUGGAUCGCCCUUAGAGUUUGAUCAUGGCUCAGAGUGAACGCUGGCGGCGUGCUUAACACAUGCAAGUCGAACGAGAAACGGAUUUAGCUUGCUAAAUUGCAGUCUAAGUGGCGCACGGGUGAGUAAUGUAUAGGUAACAUGCCUUCUACUAGGGGAUAACAGUUGGAAACGACUGCUAAUACCCUAUAUUCCUUAUUAGCACAAGUGUGUAAGGGAAAGAUUCAUUGGUAGAAGAUUGGCCUAUAUUGUAUCAGCUAGUUGGUAGUGUAAUGGACUACCAAGGCUAUGACGCAUAACUGGUUUGAGAGGAUGAUCAGUCACACUGGAACUGAGACACGGUCCAGACUCCUACGGGAGGCAGCAGUGGGGAAUAUUGCACAAUGGGCGAAAGCCUGAUGCAGCAACGCCGCGUGGAGGAUGACACAUUUCGGUGCGUAAACUCCUUUUAUAUGGGAAGAUGAUGACGGUACCAUAUGAAUAAGCACCGGCUAACUCCGUGCCAGCAGCCGCGGUAAUACGGAGGGUGCAAGCGUUACUCGGAAUUACUGGGCGUAAAGAGCGUGUAGGCUGAUUAGUAAGUUGGAAGUGAAAUCCUAUGGCUCAACCAUAGAACUGCUUCCAAAACUGCUUGUCUAGAGUGUGGGAGAGGUAGAUGGAAUUUCUGGUGUAGGGGUAAAAUCCGUAGAUAUCAGAAGGAAUACCGAUUGCGAAGGCGAUCUACUGGAACAUAACUGACGCUGAGACGCGAAAG
rnacentral:rRNA from 1 species